rnacentral:lncRNA from 1 species
GGCACCAAGUGACUUACUGAGUGCCUGCUGUACACCAGGCUCUCCCCGGGUAGUCCAGUGGGUGUUCACACGUUUGCCCAAUGGUGCAGGCACAGCCGUUGGUGCUGUGCACAAGGGACAAGACCCUUGGGACUGGUGCCUUGGCCAGGGCCACACCGAGAGGAGGCAGCCCCCAGACUGCUGCCCGGCACCCGGCAUGUGGGGAGGGUGGAGCCCCCUUCUGGGGUGCAGGAGCACAAGUGCCUGGGCUCCUGGCUUAGCAGGUGUGUGGUGGCUGUCCUUACCUACUGUGCUGUCCCAGAGAACACUUGCGGUAGUGGAAACUGCACUGCCCAGGGGGCAGCCCCCAGCCAUGCACGGCCAGCAAGCACUUGAAUUGUGGCCACUGUGACUGGCACCUCCAGUUUACAUUGUAUGUAAUUUAAACCGUCCCAUGGUGACCAGUAGCUGCUGCACUGGACAGCACUCAGGUGGUGACCUGUCCCGUCCAAAUUACGGCAGCGUGUGCUGUGCUGGGCAGCCCUGGGGACGGUCCCCAGCCCCACCUGCUUUGCUGGGCCCCAUGAGGUUAGUUUCAGGGCUCGUGGAGCCUCAGGGAGGAAUCUUGUCUCUGCCAAGUGAGAUGGGGGCACAGAGAGGCCAGUCACUGGCCUGGAGUCACACAGUCUCAGGAUUGGUCCCAGCUGGCUGGCUGUGGGGCCGGGCUUUGAACCCUGUACUCUCUGAGGUCUCCUCUCAAUAGCGGGCACCAGAGCCGGGUCCCAACAGAGCAGGGGCUUGCCCAGCAGGCACAGCUUCAUUGCACAUCAUGUGCCCACACAGGUCCCCACGUGCCCUCACAUACACUGCACGCUCUCAUGCACGCCUGGAAACUUAGACAUAAACUGCCUAAACACGUUACCCACGUGUGCAGCCACCUGUGCACACGCACAUGCACAGACAAGUGCAGGGACGUCCACAUGAAUGUCCGUGUGCGGGUACCACUGCAGGCACACACGUGCCACGUGCACGCGCACACAGAAACAGCCUGUCACAGGCCCGUGGACACGCACACACACAUGAACGCUUGAGCACACAGAGAACCACUUGUGGCUUCCAGGCCAGGGAGCCCUCCCCGUGUCCCCCACGCGGACAGGCACACGCAGGAAAUCACAGAAAGCCAGAGCAGCAGAAUGUAACCCUGGCCAUGGCCGUAUUCACCAUCCUCGCCUCCAUCUACUUCUUCAACAAGGCUCAGCAAUGAGAAGACACAGGAUCCCCCAAUCCCAGAGCCCCGCCUUCGCCCCGGACCGUGGCUCCGGCCUCUGAGACCAAAUAAAUGUGACCGAUCAGCACA